rnacentral:sRNA from 1 species
AAUUCCAAAGGCUAAGGAAAGCAUUGCGCAUGCGGGAAACCCACGCUGAGGGAAGAAUCAUGGGAAAGAGUAGAGACGGGGUUCCACCGUGUUAGCCAGGAUGGUCUCGAUCUCCUGACCUCGUCAUCCUCCCGCCUUGGCCUCCCAAAGUGCUGGGAUUACAGGCUUGAGCCACCGCGCCCCGCUCUUUCGUGUUCCAAAGGCUUUUUAAAUAAACUUCCACUCCUGUCCUGGAUUCUGCUUUAUGGCCCUCAGUCGAAUUCUUUCUUCUGAGGAGGCAAGGACUGAAGUUGCUUCUGACCAGUACAGGUACGCCGCAGGAGAAAACGAAUACAGCAGGGAUGACUUCCACCAGCUCCACUUUGCAGCUCUGAGGUGUAUUAAAAAUGACCUGGAAGAAGUCAUGCCACGGGCCAGACCUUAACAUUCCUUUCGGCUUACCCCAGGAUUUCAGACGAAGCUUCACUUUCCUAACCAGUCACAAAUCAGAGAAUUUUUGAUUCCACCUAUGACCUGUGAGCUCCUGCUUCAAGAUAUUCCACCUUUUUUAGGCCAAACCAAUGUAUAACCUCCAAGUGUCGAUUUACACUUUCGACUGUAACUUCUGCUUUCCUGAGAUUUACCCCUGCCUUUAAAAACCCUUGCUUGUAAUCCCUCAGGGAGGCCGUGUAUUUAUUAAUCAUGAGCUGCCCAAUUCUCCUUGCUUGGUGCCCUGCAAAUAAACACCCUCUUUUCUCCCACUGCAAAACCUCAGUGUGGAUGUUUGGCUUUACUUCACCCCCAGGAAAGCAGACCCAGGUUUGACUCAGCAACAACAUCUGUUUCUAUUUUUCUCUGUAUAAAUAUUAAAAACCAUAAGUACAUGCUAUCUCCAAUUCCAAUAUAAACCCAUAGGGCUCAUUCUGGCCUUCCCAUUUUCUUAUGUGUAAUUCAUUUCUCUGAAAAUGAGAAUUCGAGUACUCAGAUAUUUACUUACCUACUCAAUCCUAGAAUAGAAAUAAAAUAAUUCAACAUAA